CGGGGCGUAGCUCAGCCUGGUAGAGCGCCAUCUUCGGGAGGUGGAAGUCGCUGGUUCGAAUCCAGUCGCCCCGACCA
rnacentral:tRNA from 3 species